AUGAAUGAGCGGGCCUUGAUCCCACAAAAAAUUAAUUAACAGCUAAUUACCCAAACCAG
rnacentral:tRNA from 1 species